CCCACCCCAGGAUGUCGGGCAGAGCGGGGGAGAAGAUGGCGGCCGGUACCUGGGGACUUGCGGCGGUCCCCGUCGAUCAUCGGUGGCAUCAGCGGAGAUCGGCGGCGGAGGCGGAUCAGCUGACUGACAGGUAUACUGUUCUUGGUGUGUGUGGGAUGGGACGAGGCAUAAUGGAGAAUGGAAUUCCUAGAGGUGGACUUGCCGUACCAUGAGGUCACCAUAUUUUCAUUAACAAUGUCAAUUUUGACAUCGAGGAUUUCCAAAUUUUGAUUGCCAAACACCGAUGCAAACGUCAUGUUCAUUGUGUUUACAUUGUUACGCACGUCGCUUCACCUGAGCCUGACGAAGCGCCUUGGCGCGAUAACGGCCCGUCGAUCCGUACCCCCGCGUCUCCACCUCCUGCCUCCCCGCACCCUGUCUCCCGCAUCUGUUCUCAUGAACGAAUAAAGAAGUCCACUGCAGCAAGACCUGAGUGAGUGCUCCGUAUUUUUCUUUUUCUAUUUGGUGAAACAUUUUGCUACUAGCUUGCACGUAGCUAGCACCACAUCCAGGUACUGUACUACUUCCAGGGAGCCAUAUUAUUCCAUCCAGCCGCACACAGCCAGUCUAUUAACCAGGUAGUGCCCGGUUACUUCUGAUCACGAUACAUUGCCUCUGUUACUCUUAUCGUGAGCACACCUGUGACACGCUAAUCAGACACGUGCCUGUUCCAGCGGAAUGGAUUCUCCACCUAAGGAGACCAAUACGGUCACAGUGGGGAGAGCAGACGCGGGGGUAUUCUUCUCCUCGUGCGAAUCACAGGAUGAAGCUCACAUCAUUAGCACCAAAGCAUUGGAAUACAUAAUAUAAAACCCUAGCCGAAAGGGAAAUCCGGACAUACUGGACUAUCCAUUCACUACAAGCUUAUACAGAAAACAAUCGAACCCUGCGAGGGCUACGAGUGUACAAGAUGCCCACUCAAUUCUUACAAGAUGCGGUGUUUGUCCAGGCAUGGUAUGAACAACAUCUUCUCCAUUCUCUUAAUCUACAACAGUUAGUAUUAUCUACAAAUAGAAGCGAAU